GAUGAACGCUGGCGGCGUGCCUAAUACAUGCAAGUCGAGCGAACAGAUGAGGAGCUUGCUCCUCUUACGUUAGCGGCGGACGGGUGAGUAACACGUGGAUAACCUACCUAUAAGACUGGGAUAACUUCGGGAAACCGGAGCUAAUACCGGAUAAUAUAUUGAACCGCAUGGUUCAAUAGUGAAAGACGGUUUUGCUGUCACUUAUAGAUGGAUCCGCGCCGCAUUAGCUAGUUGGUAAGGUAACGGCUUACCAAGGCAACGAUGCGUAGCCGACCUGAGAGGGUGAUCGGCCACACUGGAACUGGGCCCCGCUCCAGACUCCUACGGGAGGCAGCAGUAGGGAAUCUUCCGCAAUGGGCGAAAGCCUGACGGAGCACCGCCGCUUGAGUGAUGAAGGUCUUCGGAUCGUAAACCUCUGUUAUUAGGGAAGAACAAAUGUGUAAGUAACUAUGCACGUCUUGACGGUACCUAAUCAGAAAGCCACGGCUAACUACGUG
rnacentral:rRNA from 1 species